CAAGCAUGUCGAGCCAUGUGAUGAGUCUCGUUAAUCUCUGAUCACAAACCAUAAUUGACAAUACGUCAUACCAACUUGCUGCCUAAUUUACGGAAUGUAAAUUAAGCUUUAUCUAGUGGAAUAAUAGUACACAGACGAGUUCCUUCUCCCUCGAUUCCGCCUGAUAAUUAAGGGACUCAGAAGGACCAAUUCUUUCAGGAUAGCGAUUGUGAUACUCCUAAGCAGUCGUGAAAUUUAGGAGAUAAGCGCAUUACUUGGGUGUCU
rnacentral:sRNA from 9 species